rnacentral:tRNA from 1 species
GGCAAGGUGGCGGAGUGGUUAACGCGACAGCCUGCUAAGCUGUUUCCUUCGGGAGCGUGAGUUCGAAUCUCACCCUUGUCG